UGGGGAAUCUUGCGCAAUGGGCGAAAGCCUGACGCAGCGACGCCGCGUGCGGGAUGAAGGCCCUCGGGUUGUAAACCGCUUUCAGUAGGGACGAAAUUGACGGUACCUGCAGAAGAAGCCCCGGCCAACUACGUGCCAGCAGCCGCGGUAAUACGUAGGGGGCAAGCGUUGUCCGGAUUUAUUGGGCGUAAAGAGCUCGUAGGCGGUUUGGUAAGUCGGAUGUGAAAUCUCCACGCUCAACGUGGAGGCGCCAUUCGAUACUGCCAUGACUCGAGUCCGGUAGGGGAGUGUGGAAUUCCCGGUGUAGCGGUGAAAUGCGCAGAGAUCGGGAGGAACACCCGUAGCGAAGGCGGCACUCUGGGCCGGUACUGACGCUGAGGAGCGAAAGCGUGGGGAGCGAACAGGAUUAGAUACCCCCGUAGUCC
rnacentral:rRNA from 1 species